rnacentral:rRNA from 1 species
AUUGAACGCUGGCGGCAGGCCUAACACAUGCAAGUCGAGCGAGCGGCGGACGGGUGAGUAAUGUAUGGGGACUGCCCGGUAGAGGGGGAUAACGACUGGAAACGGUGGCUAAUACCGCAUAAUAUCGGAUGACCCAUAUGGGAUUAGCUAGUAGGUGGGGUAAAGGCUCACCUAGGCGACGAUCUCUAGCGGGUCUGAGAGGAUGAUCAGCCACACUGGGACUGAGACACGGCCCAGACUCCUACGGAGGCAGCAGUGGGGAAUAUUGCACAAUGGGCGCAAGCCUGAUGGAGCAAUGCCGCGUGUAUGAAGAAGGCCUUAGGGUUGUAAAGUACUUUCGUCGGGGAGGCGUUACCCGCAGAGGAAGCACCGGCUAACUCCGUGCCAGCAGCCGCGGUAAUAC